rnacentral:misc_RNA from 1 species
UGAAAACUGAAAUGAGAAUAAACAUAUAUUUCAGACCUUCUAUUAUGUGGGCCAAUAUCUAUGCUUUGAUUCUCCAGGGGAAUUUAGUCAUUUCUUGUAUUUGUCUGCCAACUCUAAAAUGGGAGAGGAGCUGAAAUUCCAGCGGCUCUGGGGGUUUAGGAGGGGAAACACUGAUUUUAAUUCUUCAACAGAUGAUGGUAAAUCAAGUUUAGGCGGUGAGCCAGCUUGCAGUAAGAGCACACUAGUCUCCUGCUUGGUUCCUGUUGGUAAAGAUGAAACUAGUGAGGCUAGUAGAUUUCAGCAGAAGGGCAACAAUGAUCCUUGCAUUUCAGGUCAAUUUGAAAUUGGGAAAGCCGAAAAAGGGAAAGAAAGAACAAGUAAAAAGGAUAAUGAAAAGAAAAGGGGAUCUCGUAGUAGCCAAAAAGUCCCUCAAAAGAAGAGUAAAACUACUGCCAAUGGGGGUGCUGCUUUGGAUGAUCUCAAUAACUACAUGAACUCUUUGUUGGAAGAACUUAAAUUGACCAGAAAGAAUUUGUUAUCAUGGAUGAGGGAAGAAAUGGAGAAAUUAAUGGCAGAGGAGAAAGCUUAUGAGUCGGAAAGUGAAGAAGGCAAAACCCAAUUGCAGCAUCAGAACAAUCUUAAGGACAAUGCACAAGUCCAGUACCAGAACAUCUUAGGGAAGGACAUCCAAGUUCAACAUCCAAGCUUCUUUGACGAGCGUGGCCAAGGAAAUCACCAAAGCAAGUUUGAGGAAAAUGCGCACUUGCAGAACUUGACCAACUUGGAGGACAACCCUGGAGUGAAGUCUCAAAAGAACUCCAAGGAAAAGGCUCAACUGCAGCGUCAAAAAAGGGCCCGAUCUUGUCCUGGAGCCAGAAAUUCCAAGGGUACAUCUUUUGAGAGAUUUGGUAACAAGAAGAAAUCAGCUGAUUCUAAUAAUUAUACUCCAGCACUUGAAGAUCAAGUUGACUAUAGCCAAGAAAUUGUGCUUGUGACACCAUCUGACGAGAAUGGAGAAGCGAGAGUGGCUUUCUCUGAAAAGUCCAAAUCCAAGUCCGGCACCUCAGGCCAGAAUGAGCAAGUGCAACAGCAGAAGAGCAUUGUGUUGGCCUUAAGGGCACAGAAAUGCAAUAGCAGAUCCCCAGUGAAGAAUGCAAAAGGAAAAAAAGCUGCUAAUUCUAAUAAUCACCGUCAAGUACCUAACAACCAAGUUGAUUACAAUCAAGCUAUUGAAUCCAUUGCCUCAGCUGAGAGGGACAAAGGAGAAAGAUCAGAAUUCUAUGUGGAGCCAAAUUUUUCAUCUGAUUCCUUCAAUCAGGUAGCUUCAUCAAUGUACUUAACAAUACCAAGUGUGCUAACGAAGCCCCCUAUUGUAAAUCAUAGGCCUGAUACUUCUUCAUUUAGCUAUAUGCAACCGAGAAUUGUCCAGAAUCAAAUAGGCAUUAAUUCAGAAAGAUCAAAUCUAAUAAUGAGUUCAACUAGUCAUCUUGGAUACUUUCAAGGCAUGCAACCAGAAGAAAGAAGUAGAUACUAUGGUCAAAUGAGUUCUAGAGAUAUUGGUUGGUUCAACCAGAACAAUACCACAAGUUCAAUUGUGGGAAGUGGAUUUACGGUUCCUCUGCAGGCUGUAAGUGGUGGCUUUAGCAUUCCAAAUCAAUUUGACUCGGAAAAUCCACCCAGAGAGAACAAUAACACACUGGGUUUGACGAUGAAUGGAGGAGCUGUUAGGUAUUCUGAGGGAGUCUACUCUUCACCAGAACCUUACAUUGCCAAUAACUUCCAUAGCAAUCCAAAUUAUAGAGCUGAGGGCAGACUAAUGACAUAUCAAGACAGUUGUAGAUUCCCAAAGUAGCUAGGU